rnacentral:rRNA from 1 species
AGAGUUUGAUCCUGGCUCAGAGUGAACGCUGGCGGCGUGCCUAAUACAUGCAAGUCGAACGGAGAUUAAGUAGCUUGCUAUUUAAUCUUAGUGGCGCACGGGUGAGUAAUAUAUAGCUAAUCUGCCCUACACUAGAGGACAACAGUUGGAAACGACUGCUAAUACUCUAUACUCCUUCUUUACAUAAGUUAAGUCGGGAAAGUUUUUCGGUGUAGGAUGAGGCUAUAUCGUAUCAGCUAGUUGGUGAGGUAAUGGCUCACCAAGGCUAUGACGCGUAACUGGUCUGAGAGGAUGAUCAGUCACACUGGAACUGAGACACGGUCCAGACUCCUACGGGAGGCAGCAGUAGGGAAUAUUGCUCAAUGGGGGAAACCCUGAAGCAGCAACGCCGCGUGGAGGAUGACACUUUUCGGAGCGUAAACUCCUUUUGUUAGGGAAGAACAAUGACGGUACCUAACGAAUAAGCACCGGCUAACUCCGUGCCAGCAGCCGCGGUAAUACGGAGGGUGCAAGCGUUACUCGGAAUCACUGGGCGUAAAGGACGCGUAGGCGGAUUAUCAAGUCUCUUGUGAAAUCUAACGGCUUAACCGUUAAACUGCUUGGGAAACUGAUAAUCUAGAGUAAGGGAGAGGCAGAUGGAAUUCUUGGUGUAGGGGUAAAAUCCGUAGAGAUCAAGAAGAAUACCCAUUGCGAAAGCGAUCUGCUGGAACUUAACUGACGCUAAUGCGUGAAAGCGUGGGGAGCAAACAGGAUUAGAUACCCUGGUAGUCCACGCCCUAAACGAUGUAUACUAGUUGUUGCUAAGCUAGUCUUGGCAGUAAUGCACCUAACGGAUUAAGUAUACCGCCUGGGGAGUACGGUCGCAAGAUUAAAACUCAAAGGAAUAGACGGGGACCCGCACAAGCGGUGGAGCAUGUGGUUUAAUUCGAAGAUACGCGAAGAACCUUACCCGGACUUGAUAUCUAACAAAUCAUCCAGAGAUGGAAGAGUGUCUGCUUGCAGAAAUGUUAAGACAGGUGCUGCACGGCUGUCGUCAGCUCGUGUCGUGAGAUGUUGGGUUAAGUCCCGCAACGAGCGCAACCCACGUAUUUAGUUGCUAACGGUUAGGCCGAGCACUCUAAAUAGACUGCCUUCGUAAGGAGGAGGAAGGUGUGGACGACGUCAAGUCAUCAUGGCCCUUAUGUCCGGGGCGACACACGUGCUACAAUGGCAUAUACAAUGAGAAGCAAUAUCGCGAGAUGGAGCAAAUCUAUAAAAUAUGUCCCAGUUCGGAUUGGAGUCUGCAACUCGACUCCAUGAAGCCGGAAUCGCUAGUAAUCGUAGAUCAGCCAUGCUACGGUGAAUACGUUCCCGGGUCUUGUACACACCGCCCGUCACACCAUGGGAGUUGAUUUCACUCGAAGCCCAAAUACCAAACCGGUUAUGGUCCACAGUGGAAUCAGCGACUGGGGUGAAGUCGUAACAAGGUAACCGUAGGAGAACCUGCGGUUG